UAUACAUAUAGAGGGGAGGGGAAAAGCUCCCCUUACUCAUCAGGCUUAGAUUUCAUUACAUUUUAUUUUAUUCAGAAUCAGAAUUCACUCUAUUGGUACAACUGCAUGUACUAUGAAUUUGUUUUGGCAGUUUUGGUGCAUUUACAGACAACAUAGAACAUAAGUCAGAGAAAAAGAGCAAUUUUCCAUGUUUGUUCAGCUUACAGAACCCAAUUACUUAUUUUAUUAACAUACGUCACACUUCAGACAGAGUAAAAAGGGUUAUACUGGUUAUAAAGCAGAGAUUUUACCUUUUUGCCACGGAGAAGCAGCGACAUGUGACACUCUGAUACGGUAAAAAUGAUUCCUCCAGCACACAGUGAGCUAUCCCAGCAUGCACAG